AGCAGCCGCGGUAAUUCCAGCUCCAAUAGCGUAUAUUAAAGUUGUUGCAGUUAAAAAGCUCGUAGUUGAAUUUCGGGGUUAGUAGGUUGGUCAUGCCUCUGGUAUGUACUGGUCUCACUGAUUCCUCCUUCCUUAUGAACCGUAAUGCCAUUAAUUUGGUGUUGCGAGGAAUUUGGACUGUUACUUUGAAAAAAUUAGAGUGUUUAAAGCAAGCUAACGCUUGAAUACAUUAGCAUGGAAUAAUGAAAUAGGACGUUCGAUCUUAUUUUGUUGGUUUCUAGGAUUGACGUAAUGAUUAAUAGGGAUAGUUGGGGGCAUUAGUAUUCAAUUGUCAGAGGUGAAAUUCUUGGAUUUAUUGAAGACUAACUACUGCGAAAGCAUUUGCCAAGGAUGUUUUCAUUAAUCAAGAACGAAAGUUAGGGGAUCGAAGACGAUCAGAUACCGUCGUAG
rnacentral:rRNA from 1 species